AAUAUUUGACAAUGGGGGCAACCCUGAUCCAGCCAUUCCGCGUGCGUGAAGAAGGUCAUCGGUUUGUAAAGCACUUUAAGCUGGGAGGAAGGGCUUUAGGUUAAUACCCUGAAGUUUUGACGUUACCAACCGAAUAAGCACCGGCUACCUCUGUGCCAGCAGCCGCGGUAAUACAGAGGGUGCAAGCGUUAAUCGGAAUUACUGUGCGUAAAGCGCGGGUAGUUGGUUCAGUAAGAAGGGUGUGAAAUCCCCGGGCUUAACCUGGGAACUGCUUUCAUAACUGCUGAGCUAGAGGACGGUAGAGGGUAGUGGAAUUUCCUGUGUAGCGGUGAAAUGCGUAGAUAUAGGAAGGAACACCAGUGGCGAAGGCGACUACCUGGACUGAUACUGACACUGAGGUGCGAAAGCGUGGGGAGCAAAC
rnacentral:rRNA from 1 species